ACAACGCUUUAUUACCCAUAAUUCCCUAGCAGUGCAUCAUGGGAACAGCAUCAUUUUCUAAACUUCUAAAAAGCUGUAAAGUGCUGCACACGAAACUGCAACAAAACUUCAAUAAACGAAAGACAAUAUUCGACUUAAAAUCAACGGUGUAAUAAUUUACAAAGACUUUUCAUCAAAUAUCAAGCUGUUUGGGUCAUGGUGUAACAGUUAAGUGCGGGAUUGAACAAGUUGAAGUCGAAGAUUUGACUGUCUGGUGGAUUAUGCGGGGACGCUAAGAAGGUGCAACCGGCUUCGUGGUGCUGGUACAAUCUCAGCCUCAAAAAAGCAGACUGGUCGUUGAGUUGCUGCAUGCGAUCCCAAGAUACUGUUGUUGCGGCACAUAGUACUGAAUUUUGUACUCCGGCUCCGGUUGUCCGGCUGAUCGCGCCCAGGACAACUCCACCGCGAUGCAGAUCAACGCACAGGGCUCUGAAUGCUGAACAGAACCUCGCAGGAGAGAUCUACUUGCAACAAAUUAGUUCUGGAAAUUGAACGGGACCGCGUAGGAGAGUCAUUCUUGCAUCAAAUCAAGUAUUGUAAUUUUUUUAUCAUAUUCAUGAAUUAGUUUUGUGAUUUUCCUACGUUGAAGCCAUAAAAAAUGCAUUUUUG